UGGGGAAUCUUGGACAAUGGGCGCAAGCCUGAUCCAGCCAUGCCGCGUGAGUGAAGAAGGCCUUCGGGUUGUAAAGCUCUUUUGUCAGGGACGAUAAUGACGGUACCUGAAGAAUAAGCCCCGGCAAACUUCGUGCCAGCAGCCGCGGUAAUACGAAGGGGGCUAGCGUUGUUCGGAAUUACUGGGCGUAAAGCGCACGUAGGCUGAUUGUUAAGUCAGGGGUGAAAUCCCAGAGCUCAACUCUGGAACUGCCCUUGAUAUUGGCAAUCUCGAGUCCGGAAGAGGUUAGUGGAAUUCCCAGUGUAGAGGUGAAAUUCGUAGAUAUUGGGAAGAACACCAGUGGCGAAGGCGGCUAACUGGUCCGGUACUGACGCUGAGGUGCGAAAGCUAGGGUAGCAAACGGGAUUAGAUACCCAGGUAGUCCCUGAGCGGGCUGGCAAGGCGCAU
rnacentral:rRNA from 1 species